rnacentral:rRNA from 1 species
CCUACGGGUGGCAGCAGUGAGGAAUAUUGGUCAAUGGGCGUACGCCUGAACCAGCCAAGUCGCGUGAGGGAAGACUGCCCUAGGGGUUGUAAACCUCUUUUGUCAGGGAGCAACGCCGGCUACGUGUAGCCGGACUGAGAGUACCUGAAGAAAAAGCAUCGGCUAACUCCGUGCCAGCAGCCGCGGUAAUACGGAGGAUGCGAGCGGUAUCCGGAUUUAUUGGGUGUAAAGGGUGCGUAGGCGGAAUGCCAAGUCAGCGGUAAAAGCGCGGGGCUCAACCUCGCUCCGCAGUUGAAACUGGCGUUCUUGAGUGGGCGAGAAGUAUGCGGAAUGCGUGGUGUAGCGGUGAAAUGCAUAGAUAUCACGCAGAACUCCGAUUGCGAAGGCAGCAUACCGGCGCCCAACUGACGCUGAAGCACGAAAGCGUGGGUAUCGAACAGGAUUAGAUACCCUAGUAGUC